GGCUAUUUAAUAAAAAUUUAAGCGCCUGCCUUGCAUGGUCUUUCAUGCAUGUAGGGUAAUGCAGGGCAAAAUGAGACACCUAAGGACAUUUACUGUUGUAGAAUGGAAGGCAUAGCAAUUUGAAUUUUCAUUUUGACUUGGGUAUGUGAGGUUGACUCACAGCAAGAUAUGUAAAGCAAAAAAAAAUGUUUGAAAUAAUUUAUUUGCGAUAAAUCGAGGAAAACCUAGCAGUGGUAAUUGUCUCAUCUUGCCCCGGCACAGUGAGGCAAAAUGAGACAGGGCUAAAAAUUAAAAAUAAAGUCAAUAUAAUUAUACUUAUUUUAAUAGAGCUUUAGAACUAAUUAUAAAAUACAUGUUUCAAAUUAUUUUUAAGUUCAAUGUCACACACACACACAGGUCACAUUGGCUGCGGUAACAGUACAGCGUUCUUCGUGACACCAUUGUUUGCAUUGUGAACAAGUCAUCCAUCCUCGUUAGGCAUUGACUUUGACCAACGUUCACCACAAAAAGAUAAAUUUUUUAGCCUACCAUUGACUCGGCGAUUUAAUCCCUGUAGGCAUUUGAAGCUUUCGUAUCGACAGUUCUUCUCAACUGCAGAGGUGGCAAGACAGAUUUGAUCCUCAUUCCAGUUUGCACAUUGAAUUUUGCAUACAUAGUUCCUGACCGUCCUAAAUAAAAUAAAAGUUAGUUUGAUUUGUGACAUGGACUAAGCUGUUUAUAGCAUAAAAUAUAUGACAUAUGAACUUAUGAUAAAUUGUAGAAUAAAAGUACAUAUUGAUUCAAUCAGAAACACAAACCCUUUAACUUUCGCAAGCAGGAGAAAGUGGUAUUAAAUCAACAAUUGAGGAAUAUAAUACAGAUAGUACUGGUAAUAAUCCAAGAUAGUAUUUAUAUCAUAUAUAUUAAGAGAUUGACA